AUUAUUCAUAGCCUAUUUCCUGGUGGGGCUUACAAAAUUCAGUGUGGUGAGCACAUCGCCGACUGUGCACACACACCUAGGUCCUUACUCAUGCCUUCAUGGUAGAUUCAAAAUAGUUUCAAUACAAGGUCACGAGUUCAAGUACCUAUUGUGGCCGUAAGCAACUCUAGUUUGUGAGUGUGUGUUAAAAGAAAAAGAAAGAAAGAAAAUGCUAAUUUAUCUUUUAGGUUGAGCCUAAUGGUACUUGGUGAUUUCUCAUCAGGUAGAAAUUAUUAUUAGUGAGAUUAGGCCACUUAUAAUUAUAUUAACAUGAUAAAAUGUUGUACGUGAGCAGACACCACAAAAUAAACAAUCCUAUGAAAAAAAA